rnacentral:rRNA from 1 species
CUUUGGGAUAACCCUCGGAAACGGGGGCUAAUACCGAAUACAACCUUUGGUCGCAUGACUGGGGGUGGAAAGUUUUUCGGCCUGGGAUGGGCUCGCGGCCUAUCAGCUUGUUGGUGGGGUGAUGGCCUACCAAGGCGACGACGGGUAGCCGGCCUGAGAGGGCGACCGGCCACACUGGGACUGAGACACGGCCCAGACUCCUACGGGAGGCAGCAGUGGGGAAUAUUGCACAAUGGGCGGAAGCCUGAUGCAGCGACGCCACGUGAGGGAUGACGGCCUUCGGGUUGUAAACCUCUUUCAGCAGGGACGAAGCGUAAGUGACGGUACCUGCAGAAGAAGCGCCGGCCAACUACGUGCCAGCAGCCGCGGUAAGACGUAGGGCGCGAGCGUUGUCCGGAUUUAUUGGGCAUAAAGAGCUCGUAGGCGGCUUGUCGCGUCGACUGUGAAAACCCGUAGCUCAACUGCGGGCCUGCAGUCGAUACGGGCAGGCUAGAGUUCGGUAGGGGAGACUGGAAUUCCUGGUGUAGCGGUGAAAUGCGCAGAUAUCAGGAGGAACACCGGUGGCGAAGGCGGGUCUCUGGGCCGAUACUGACGCUGAGGAGCGAAAGCGUGGGGAGCGAACAGGAUUAGAUACCCUGGUAGUCCACGCUGUAAACGUUGGGCGC